rnacentral:rRNA from 1 species
UACGUAGGGUGCAAGCGUUAAUCGGAAUUACUGGGCGUAAAGCGUGCGCAGGCGGUUGUGCAAGACAGAUGUGAAAUCCCCGGGCUUAACCUGGGAACUGCAUUUGUGACUGCACGGCUAGGGUGUGUCAGAGGGGGGGUAGAAUUCCACGUGUAGCAGUGAAAUGCGUAGAUAUGUGGAGGAAUACCGAUGGCGAAGGCAGCCCCCCUGGGAUAACACUGACGCUCAUGCACGAAAGCGUGGGGAGCAAACAGG